UACGUNCCAGCAGCCGCGGUAAUACGUAGNUCCCGAGCGUUGUCCGGAUUUAUUGGGCGUAAAGCGAGCGCAGGCGGUUAGAUAAGUNUGAAGUUAAAGGCUGUGGCUUAACCAUAGUACGCUUUGGAAACUGUUUAACUUGAGUGCAGAAGGGGAGAGUGGAAUUCCAUGUGUAGCGGUGAAAUGCGUAGAUAUAUGGAGGAACACCGGUGGCGAAAGCGGCUCUCUGGUCUGUAACUGACGCUGAGGCUCGAAAGCGUGGGGAGCGAACAGGAUUAGAUACCCUGGUAGUCCACGCCGUAAACGAUGAGUGCUAGGUGUUAGGCCCUUUCCGGGGCUUAGUGCCGCAGCUAACGCAUUAAGCACUCCGCCUGGGGAGUACGACCGCAAGGUUGAAACUCAAAGGAAUUGACGGGGGCCCGCACAAGCGGUGGAGCAUGUGGUUUAAUUCGAAGCAACGCGAAGAACCUUACCAGGUCUUGACAUCCCGAUGCCCGCUCUAGAGAUAGAGUUUUACUUCGGUACAUCGGUGACAGGUGGUGCAUGGUUGUCGUCAGCUCGUGUCGUGAGAUGUUGGGUUAAGUCCCGCAACGAGCGCAACCCUUAUUGUUAGUUGCCAUCAUUCAGUUGGGCACUCUAGCGAGACUGCCGGUAAUAAACCGGAGGAAGGUGGGGAUGACGUCAAAUCAUCAUGCCCCUUAUGACCUGGGCUACACACGUGCUACAAUGGCUGGUACAACGAGUCGCAAGUCGGUGACGGCAAGCUAAUCUCUUAAAGCCAGUCUCAGUUCGGAUUGUAGGCUGCAACUCGCCUACAUGAAGUCGGAAUCGCUAGUAAUCGCGGAUCAGCACGCCGCGGUGAAUACGUUCCCGGGCCUUGUACACACCGCCCGUCACACCACGAGAGUUUGUAACACCCGAAGUCGGUGAGGUANCCUUUUAGGAGCCA
rnacentral:rRNA from 1 species